rnacentral:rRNA from 1 species
UCCUACGGGAGGCAGCAGUCGGGAAUCUUGCACAAUGGGCGAAAGCCUGAUGCAGCAACGCCGUGUGAGCGAUGAAGGCCUUAGGGUCGUAAAGCUCUGUUGUUAGGGACGAAGGGUGAAGGGUUAAUAGCCCUUAGCCUGACGGUACCUUUCGAGGAAGCCCCGGCUAACUACGUGCCAGCAGCCGCGGUAAUAA